rnacentral:rRNA from 1 species
UACGAAGGGAGCUAGCGUUGUCCGGAUUUAUUGGGCGUAAAGAGCUCGUAGGCGGUUCGGUAAGUCGGGUGUGAAACCUCCAGGCUCAACCUGGAGUCGCCACUCGAUACUGCUGUGACUAGAGUCCGGUAGGGGAGCGUGGAAUUCCUGGUGUAGCGGUGAAAUGCGCAGAUAUCAGGAGGAACACCAGCGGCGAAGGCGGCUUCUUGGGCCGUUUCUGACGCUGAGGCGCGAAAGCCAGGGGAGCGAACGGG